AUACAGGUCUAUAAAGCUGUUGUGUUGAUGCAUGUAAGAAUGUUCUAAGAGGUUUACAUGACAGCAAGAUUGCCCAAAGGGAGUUGGAUCGGCGCUCACAACGGCUGUCAUAGUUGCAGAGAUUCUGAAGAAAAAAGGGCUGGCUAUUGAGAAGAGGAUUUUGAUGUCUAUAGUUGACAUGAAGGAUGAAUCCAAGGGCCGUCUCAUUCCAAAAGCGAAGAUUGAGGUAUUGCUGGGGAAGACUGAGAAAUUCGAUGAUCUGAUUGUUGCCGUUGCUGCCAAAGGGAGGUAGUUGGAGACAAUAAAGCAUGAUGGCAAACCAUAGCUCUGGAGUUCCAUCAUAUUUUGAUUUUCAUUUCUUUUUUCCUCCUGGUGUCUUGUUUAAGUGAUAGAGGUUAUGAAAUUUUCAAGUAGAGCUGUUGCUGUCAUUAACUGAAAAGAGCAGAGUUGAGAGAGGCCUUUUUUUUUUCUCCUUUUAUAGGAGUUGUUGAUGAUACAGACAAUCUGUUGUUUGGUGGUCAGACUGUUGUUGUAUUGUUUGAGUCUUGUUUCAGCA